GACGUAGGAGGCGAGCGUUAUCCGGAUUCACUGGGCGUAAAGCGCAUGUAGGCGGCUGGACAAGUCGUGUGUUAAAGCCCCUGGCUCAACUGGGGGAGGUCAUGCGAGACUGUACGGCUGGAGGGCAACAGAGGCACGUGGAACUCCCGGUGUAGCGGUGGAAUGCGUAGAGAUCGGGAAGAACACCAGUGGCGAAGGCGACGUGCUGGGUUGCACCUGACGCUGAGAUGCGAAAGUGUGGGGGGAGCAAACGGG
rnacentral:rRNA from 1 species